rnacentral:lncRNA from 1 species
UCAGCAAAGGCGAAGAGUUGCAGUGUUCAUAAAGGCUUCGACGAGGACGUCGAAGGAAUAAGUGGGGGAGAAUGUCACGGACAAACUUCGAAACAGGGUGUUUGACGUAAUGCUUAUAUAUGUCCGUGUCUUUUGGCAUGUUCAUGCCUUGUACAGAAUGUAAAGGGGCGGCCGAAGGCUUAAUAGUCUCAUUUUAGUUGGGUUGGUGGCCUCUUUAGGCUUGUAAAUAAAGGUUGUGUCAUGUGGACACGUGCGAGAGAUUUUCGAUCUGUAAUGGACCAUUUUACCCUUUGUUGUGCCACUGUUCAGAGCUUGUAAAGUCUGUUUGUAAUUUGCAUUGUCUAUGAAGUGUUUUUCGGACAUGUUUGCUUGUGGAUCCCGAUUGAGGCGUUCUCUUUAACCCGUUCUCUCUUUUGUUGGUCCUAAGGGACAAUGGGAGGCUUCGGGGAGGCUGACCUUUGCGGACGGACGCGCGAGGGUGCCGCACGACUUAGGCAAAACCAGCUAAGUCCGUGUCAGUGUGGCCGAGGGGCUCGACUCAGUCGUGCAGGCCGAGUGGGCGCGUCUCGAGCAACAUGGGGCCGAGAUGCGCAACUUAGUCGAAAGUCCGAGCGGAGAUCGGGAUCUCGGACAGCGCGCGACCGAGGAGCACGGCACAGGCGGGCAGACCGCGCAGGCGUGGUUCCAGGUAGCAUGUGGCCGAGGGGCUCGACUCAGUCGGGCAGGCCGAGCAGAGUUGGAUUCAGGGGUCAUGGAGCCGAGGAGGGCCGAGGAGCACAACGCAUGCGAACUGGCCACGCAGGUGUGGUCUCGGUUGACGUGCAACCGAGGGCCGAGGAGCACAACGCAGGUGGGCAGACCGCGCAGGCGUGGUCUCGGGCAACGUGCGACCGAGGAGCACGACGCAAGCGGGCAGGCUGCGCAGGUGUGGUCUCGGAUGGCGUGCAGUCGAGGGCCGAGGAGAACAACGCAGGCAGGCAGACCGCGUUGGCGUGGUCUCGGGCAACGCGCGACCGAGGAGCACGACACAGGCGAGCAGGCCGCGCAGGUAUGGUCUCGGAUGGCGUGCAGCCGAGGGCCGAGGAGCACAACGCAGGCGGGUAGGCCGUGCAGGUGUGGUCUCGGAUGGCGUGCAGCCGAGGGCCGAGGAGCACAACGCAGGCGGGUAGACCGCGCAGGCGUGGUCUUGGGCAACGUGCGACCGAGGAGCACGACGCAGGCGGGCAGGCCGCGCAGGUGUGGUCUCAUGCAACGCGCAGCCGAGGGCCGAGGGGCACAACGCAGGCGGGCUGGCGGCGCAGGUGUGGUCCCGCUUUGCUUUAAAUUUGGCGACGGCAGGGAUCAGAAAGCUACCGCAUUUAAUUUUAUUUCCUGAAAGGGGGAGUUGGUCGCGCUGUCACGGACAAACUUCGAAACAAGGUGUUUGAUGUAAUGCUUAUGUAUGUCCGUGUCUUUUGGCAUAUUCAUGCCUUGUAAAGAAUCUAGAGGGGCGGCCGAAGGCUUAAUAGUCCCACUUUAGUUGGGUUGGUGGCCUCUUUAGGCUUGUAAAUAAAGGUUGUGUCAUGUGGACACGUGCGAGAGUUUUUCGGUCUGUAAUGGACCAUUUUACCCUUUGUUGUGCCACUGUUCAGAGCUUGUAAAGUCUGUUUGUAAUUUGCAUUGUCUAUAAAGUGUUUUUCGGAGAUGUUUGCUUGUUGAUCCCGAUUGAGGCGUUCUCUCUAACCCGUUCUCUCUUUUGUUGGUCUCAAGGGACAAUGGGAGGCUUCGGGGAGGCUGACCCUUGCGGACGGACAUGCAGGGGUGCCGCACAACUUAGGCAAAACCAGCUAAGUCCGUGUCAUAUGGUAUCAGAGCGGGACAAGCACUCAUAGAAACACUUAGCAUGCAAACGUGGGGGACCUAGCGGGGCUGCAUUGAGGGCAGUCAGCACACGCGCGACCGUUUGAGAGAAAACGAGCAUGGAGAUGUAGGGAAAAGAGUCGCUCAGAGGAGCGGGCAUCUGACAUUGGCAUUCAGAGGAAUGACCAACCCUU